AUUGAACGCUGGCGGCAGGCCUAACACAUGCAAGUCGAACGAGUGGCGGACGGGUGAGUAAUGUAUGGGAAACUGCCCGCUGGAGGGGGAUAACUACUGGAAAAAGUAGCUAAUACCGCAUACUAUCGGAUGUGCCCAUAUGGGAUUAGCUAGUAGGUGGGGUAAAGGCUCACCUAGGCGACGAUCCCUAGCUGGUCUGAGAGGAUGACCAGCCACACUGGAACUGAGACACGGUCCAGACUCCUACGGGAGGCAGCAGUGGGGAAUAUUGCACAAUGGGCGCAAGCCUGAUGCAGCCAUGCCGCGUGUAUGAAGAAGGCCUUCGGGUUGUAAAGUACUUUCAGCGGAGAGGCGUUACUCGCAGAAGAAGCACCGGCUAACUCCGUGCCAGCAGCCGCGGUAAUUC
rnacentral:rRNA from 1 species